rnacentral:tRNA from 1 species
GCCGCGUUCGUCUAGAGGCCCAGGACGACUGGUUUUCAGCCAGUAAAUCAGGGGUUCGAAUCCCCUACGCGGUACCG